rnacentral:rRNA from 1 species
UACGUAGGGUCCGAGCGUUGUCCGGAAUUACUGGGCGUAAAGAGCUCGUAGGUGGUUUGUCGCGUUGUUCGUGAAAACUCACAGCUCAACUGUGGGCGUGCGGGCGGAUACGGGCAGACUAGAGUACUGCAGGGGAGACUGGAAUUCCUGGUGUAGCGGUGGAAUGCGCAGAUAUCAGGAGGAACACCGGUGGCGAAGGCGGGUCUCUGGGCAGUAACUGACGCUGGAGGAGCGAAAAGCGUGGGGAGCGAACAGG